rnacentral:snRNA from 1 species
AUCGCUUCUCGGCCUUUUGGCUAAGAUCAAGUGUAAAAUCUUUUUUUCCUGUGCUAUGGCUCUAACCCAGGGCCUCACCCAUAUAAAGUAAACUCUCUACACCCCCACCCAUA